AUUGAACGCUGGCGGCAUGCCUUACACAUGCAAGUCGAACGGCAGCACGGGAGCAAUCCUGGUGGCGAGUGGCGAACGGGUGAGUAAUAUAUCGGAACGUGCCCAGUCGUGGGGGAUAACGUAGCGAAAGCUACGCUAAUACCGCAUACGAUCUAUGGAUGAAAGCGGGGGAUCGCAAGACCUCGCGCGAUUGGAGCGGCCGAUAUCAGAUUAGGUAGUUGGUGAGGUAAAGGCUCACCAAGCCGACGAUCUGUAGCUGGUCUGAGAGGACGACCAGCCACACUGGGACUGAGACACGGCCCAGACUCCUACGGGAGGCAGCAGUGGGGAAUUUUGGACAAUGGGCGCAAGCCUGAUCCAGCAAUGCCGCGUGCAGGAUGAAGGCCUUCGGGUCGUAAACUGCUUUUGUACGGAGCGAAAAGGCUUCCACUAAUACUGGGGGCUCAUGACGGUACCGUAAGAAUAAGCACCGGCUAACUACGCGCCAGCCGCCGCGGUAACAC
rnacentral:rRNA from 1 species